UUAAUGUUCGAUGAUCAGUUUCGACUCGCCAAUUAGGGUUCCAAGGAAGGAUAACCUUGGAUGUAUAAUACAAACACUUCUUCCGCCAAUAUUAAAGGUUUAGGGCUCAAUGCAAGAAAUUAGGGAAUUUGUCAACAUACAUAGCAUUCUUUGGAAUUGGCAAAAUUAUAGUUUGUAGUUUUGAUAAUUCAGCUUUGUUUGCUUG